rnacentral:tRNA from 1 species
GGCCUGUUGGUCUAGGGGUAUGAUUCUCGUUUCGGGUACGAGAGGUCCCGGGUUCAAAUCCCGGACAGGCCC